rnacentral:pre_miRNA from 1 species
CUAAGUAGUGGUGCCGCAGGUAACCUACGUGCGAUUACCUGCUGUCUGCUGCUUACC